rnacentral:rRNA from 1 species
AGCAGCCGCGGUAAUUCCAGCUCCAAUAGCGUAUAUUAAAGUUGUUGCAGUUAAAAAGCUCGUAGUUGAAUUUCGGGAUUAAUAUGCUGGUCGUGCCAUUGGUACGUACUAGUAUUAUUGAUUUCUCCCUUCUGAUGAAUCAUGAUGUCAUUAAUUUGAUGUCAUGGGGAAUCAGGACUGUUACUUUGAAAAAUUAGAGUGUUUAAAGCAGGCUCGCGCUUGAAUACAUUAGCAUGGAAUAAUGAAAUAGGACGUUUGAUUCUAUUUUGUUGGUUUCUAGGAUUGACGUAAUGAUUAAUAGGGAUAGUUGGGGGCAUUAGUAUUCAAUUGUCAGAGGUGAAAUUCUUGGAUUUAUCGAAGACUAACUACUGCGAAAGCAUUUGCCAAGGAUGUUUUCAUUAAUCAAGAACGAAAGUUAGGGAUCGAAGACGAUCAGAUACCGUCGUAGUCUUAACCAUAAACUAUGCCGACUAGGGAUCGGAUGAUGUUAAUU